AAUAUUUUCAAUAAUUUUUUUUGUUUUUUUGGAUGUAAAAGGUCCCUUUGGUGUUUUAGUAUUAAAGUGACUUGGGCCAUUAUAAAGUCAAGGGGGGCUUUAGUACCGGCUGCCAUAUAAUCAGACAGUCUUUUGAGGUAAGGGGCUAGUAAGUCUGUGAAUUUCUUGUAGUAUAUAGCAGAUAGGCCAUUGGGGCCUGGGGCUUUUGAUUAUGUGUGUAAUAUCUAUGGUGAUUGCUUCAUUUAAUUUUGAUAGCUGGGGUUUAGUUAAAGGAAAGGGGAGAGUUUGGGGUUAGGAAAUUUGUCAGUAUUUUACUUUUAGGGGUUCAGUGGAUUGAGAAUAUAAGCUGUAAUAGAAGGAGUAUAAGUAUGUGGUUAGAGGUAAUGUUCCCCUGUGGGGUUGUGAUCCUUGGUGUCUGAUUAAUUUUGGAGUCAAAUUUUAGAAAGGUUGGCUCAGUAUGUAUCUAUUUGGUUUAUUACUGUAUCUUUAAUAUUUAUAGUCUUAUUGUUUUAUCUACUUUAUCUAGCUGUAGCUCCUGAAGCUCUUGCUUGGACGCUGCUAUUAUUUUUGUAGGGGCCAGGGUGGUCCUGUUCUGGUUGGAGGUUUCUAGGGUUUGAAGAGAUUUUUCUAGUUCCUGUAUUUUUGCUUUUUUCAUGAUACUGGUUGAAUUAGUUGGCCACCUAUUGUUGCCUUAUGGGCCACCCAUAAGAUAUCAGGGGUGAUUUUUGGGAGCUUUAUUUUCAAGGAAGUAAAUCUGCAGAGCUGUUAUGUUUUAUGGGUUAAAAUCUCCACCUCAAAUAUUCAUUGGGGUUUCUGUUUUGGUAAGUGUGUGUGUGUGCGUGUGCGUGCGACUUUCAUAUUGUCAUGAACAUAAUUUCAAUAAAUUGAGGCUGUCUUUGCCUAAACCAAAUGAUAACCUAUAUUAUACAAAGUACUCUAUGGCUGUCCACCUGCUUGGUGGGUUUAAUUGCAAUGCUGCAGAGUGGGGGCAUCUCUUGUUAGGCUCUGGUUUUGGAAAAGGCAAGCUGAUUAGAAGCUUUUAGCUUAACAAGAGAGUUUCCAAUGUUUGUGGUAGGGGGAAGGGUUAAGGAAAACUUAUUUUGUGUGUGCAUGAGAUUGGGCUUUUUCAGCCUGGGCAUAGUUUAACAAUUUGGGGACCAGGAAUUGGGGAGAAACUCCAGUUGUUGUAACUUUAUCCAUGGUGGGUAACUAGGGACAGUGUAGUGUUAAAUGGUUACUCUUGUUUCGGUGUGCAUAAGUGUGCUCCUUCAUGCUUUUAUCUAUUUUAAAGGCAUAAUUCUAAUUGUGGAUGUACUUUAUUUUACAGGUUAUGCCCUUGUUUAUGAAUUUUGUCUUUUUUUAUGUCACCAGAUGAAUUUAAGCAGAAGUGCACGCCAAAUGGCGUAACAAAAAAAAAUAAUAGGAAUUUGGUUACUCUCCUUUCUUUAUUUCUUAUGUUACUCUUCAGGUUCUCUAAUAUUCAUCUUGCAUUUUGAUUUUAGAGCUGCUCUCUGGCUCCUAGAGCAAUCAACCUUGGCGUUUUCUUUCUUUGGGCACUAUUAUUUUUGUUGGUUUACUGCAACUUUAUAGUACUCUCUAGUAACAUAUAAAUAGUUUAUCUUCAUUAUUUGAAACUUAACAAUUUCUGCCUAAAAGUCAACAGGAACACUGCUAAACUGCACAAGACCAGUUCAUUAAGGAAAUGUAUCUACCUCAGUUACACAUGGAAUCUCUGCAGCAGCAGUGUACUAGAAACAAAUUGCAAGUUGUAAUCUGGUUUGGGAAAGGUCUCAGUCUUGCAGCCAUUUCCUUAUGCUGAUGCAUGCCCCACCAACUAAGCACCCAAGGCAAGAACAUUUCUACCCUACACUGAACACAUCUUAAGGGGAUGAGAAACCUGGCAUCUCCUUUUUCACCAUGCUAUGAAGCAUGCAGAUGGAUUUUCUAUUUGUAUUAAAAUUGUAAAAUGUUUGUUUUUCAUUAAAUUCAAACUCAUUGAA